rnacentral:lncRNA from 1 species
GUAAAUUAAAUAUUUAUUUACUGAUAAAAAAACGGAAGUCAAAAUCAAAUAUAGUUGUUUAAAAACUUGAUUAAAAUGUAGUGUAAUUGAAAGAAUUAACAACAACGUUUUGCUUUUUAUUUUAAUCUUUCAUUUGUUUCAAGCAAUCAGAUAUAACCUGAUAAUCAAUAGACAUGAAAUACAAUUGUUUAAUUACAUUAGAAAUCUCACAUACCUUGACUGUCGCGUGCCGGCAUAGAUCAGACGGAUUAGGGCAAUUAAUUACCUGGUGUCACACCGC